rnacentral:tRNA from 1 species
GGGCGGGUAGCUCAGUUGGUUAGAGCAGGAGCCUUUUAAGCUUCAGGUCGUGGGUUCGAUUCCCACCCCGCUCA